GGACCCUUAAGACCUGGGAUGCACGAACAUGGUGCUCUCUUCACUCCCUUGAGAUUUUGGGUGCAGGCAACAGACCAGGCAAAAGAGCAGCGUGGGACUGUGCCUCAGCCUUCCAGGACCCUGCAAUAAAAAAGUCUUCUGUUCUGUAUAAUGACCAGCCUGUGUCAAGUUGACAUAAGACCAGCCAGCGCAGACUGCAUCUCCUGAGAUGUCUUCUCCAUGAUGCAAAGCUGAAAGAAGUCUAUAAAUUAAGACUAACACCCAAAUGGCUUUGUGGCCUGUGGAACUAGAGAAGGACAUUUUGGCUGAUUAUUCAGCCUAACAGCCAAUGCAGAAGAACACAGUGCUUUUGAAAGGCCAAGUCUGUCUGACUGGUUUAGUUUUGAGGUUUAAUAUAUUGACUCCUUAAUGAAUCCAACAUUUGUAUUCUUGUAAUAUUCUAUAAAUAUGAAUAUUACAAAGUUGAACAAUUGGAUGGGGAAUAAUGUAUGAGAUUAUACUUUUUUAUUUUUGUUCUUCAGUUGCAACUGUGGCUUGAUUCUGCUUGCAUCUAAAAUGGAAUAGGUAGUGUUAGAGCAUCACUCUGGUGCUUAGCAAUCACAGCACUGGGCAGAAUACAGUAACUACCAUGAAACACUGGAAAACAGGCAAUAUAAACCAUGAUGGUGGAGAAAAACACGUAAGAAUCACUUUGCUAUAGAUUUCCGAUUGGGAGACAUUUUCCUCCGAAUGCAGGGGCCAGGAGUGUGAUCUGAGCCGAGUAAUGUCAUUCUCCUGGGCUGAAGAAACACAGGUCAUGUUUUGGCAUUGGAAGUGGCCAAAGUCUGCAAAGCAGAGCGUGCCAGAAAGAAGGAGCCUCAGAGUUGGGGUGAAACCUUGGAAGAGGGUACACCCGAGUUCUUGCUGAGACUUUCAAAUGCAGAGAGACUACGCAGGCUUAUCAGAAGGCAGCUGCUACCUGACUGUGAACGAGAGAUAAUAAAGAUUUGGAACUGGAGAUCUCCCCCAGCUAGAGGAGGAGUCAAUGUCGGGUUAACAACUUAAGCAUCUACCUUUGUGAUCAAGGCCUCACUUAACGAUAAGGACCAAUCCUUAAAGAGAGUCUCCCAACUUGCUCUGUGAAAUAUAAAUCUUUCACAAGAAGCCAGAAGGUUUCCCACAGAACUACUCUAAGAAGUAUGAGUUCAAUGGUGGUCAGCCAAUAACUGAUUUGUAUGCUACAACAAAAUGUAACGUUUUCUUAAUGAAUAUAACAACACAAAGUUUCUGUAUUAUAUCAUGGAUAAUAUAAAAUAGUCAAAAAAUUAUUGAGUUUUCAAAGACAUAGGAAAAUGAGGCCCCUAACUAUUGUAAUAAUUAAGACAGGAAGAAGCAGAUGAGAAAUAGCC